GAUGAACGCUGGCGGCGUGCCUAAUACAUGCAAGUCGAGCGAACAGACGAGGAGCUUGCUCCUCUGACGUUAGCGGCGGACGGGUGAGUAACACGUGGAUAACCUACCUAUAAGACUGGGAUAACUUCGGGAAACCGGAGCUAAUACCGGAUAAUAUAUUGAACCGCAUGGUUCAAUAGUGAAAGACGGUUUUGCUGUCACUUAUAGAUGGAUCCGCGCCGCAUUAGCUAGUUGGUAAGGUAACGGCUUACCAAGGCGACGAUGCGUAGCCGACCUGAGAGGGUGAUCAGCCACACUGGAACUGAGACACGGUCCAGACUCCUACGGGAGGCAGCAGUAGGGAAUCUUCGGCAAUGGGCGAAAGCCUGACGGAGCAACGCCGCGUGAGUGAUGAAGGUCUUCGGAUCGUAAAACUCUGUUAUUAGGGAAGAACAAAUGUGUAAGUAACUAUGCACGUCUUGACGGUACCUAAACAGAAAGCCACGGCUAACUACGUG
rnacentral:rRNA from 1 species